GCCAAGGGGUGCUGCGAUUGUCGCGGCUGAGAUAAUACCCUCAGACCUGAUCCGGAUAAUGCCGGCGUAGGAAUGAA
rnacentral:ncRNA from 1 species